GGUUUAAUUCGAUGAUACGCGAGGAACCUUACCCGGGCUUGAACUGCAGGAGAACGAUUCAGAGAUGAUGAGGUCCUUCGGGACUCCUGUGGAGGUGCUGCAUGGUUGUCGUCAGCUCGUGCCGUGAGGUGUCGGCUUAAGUGCCAUAACGAGCGCAACCCCUCUCCGUAGUUGCCAUCGGGUAAAUGCCGGGCACUCUGCGGACACUGCCACCGUAAGGUGUGA
rnacentral:rRNA from 1 species